UACGAAGGGGGCUAGCGUUGCUCGGAAUCACUGGGCGUAAAGGGUGCGUAGGCGGGUCUUUAAGUCAGGGGUGAAAUCCUGGAGCUCAACUCCAGAACUGCCUUUGAUACUGAGGAUCUUGAGUUCGGGAGAGGUGAGUGAAACUGCGAGUGUAGAGGUGAAAUUCGUAGAUAUUCGCAGGAACACCAGUGGCGAAGGCGGCUCACUGGCCCGAUACUGACGCUGAGGCACGAAAGCGUGGGGAGCAAACAGG
rnacentral:rRNA from 1 species